rnacentral:tRNA from 1 species
AAGGGCUUAGCUUAAUUAAAGCGGUUGUUUUGCGUUCAAUUGAUGUGAGAUAUGUUCUUGCAGUCCUUA